UCUUACCAUAAAAAUAUAUGAUAAUUUUUUCAUUAAACGUAUAUAUGUAUUUUUAAAUUUUGCAAGUCUACAAUGUAACCCAGAGUAAACAACACACGUUGUUGUGAAUAACAGCACAUGAGUAUGUAUUACAUAUAUAUAUAUAUAUAUAUAUUUGUUGUAUGUGUACUGUAGACAUGUACUCUAACCUCAAAAACGUAAAACGGAGAAAGCCGACGACAAAAUUUAUAAUUAAAGUAAAUCACAACUAUGUGAUGAUGAAACAAAAUUUGGAGCUUAAAUAAAAAAAAAUGUAACUUGUUACGACAAAGUAAUGGAGAAUUUACGUCAGUUUGAAUAUAUGAGAUUGUUUAGGUUGGUGAAGCCGAAGCCUACAUUUUUGAGGGCAUCGACACUUAAAUAUAUCACGUAAAUAAAUACUUACUUGCUGGUGGACAUGCUGGUAGCCAUCUUGAAAGUAAACUCGAGUAAAGUCUCACCAGCUAGCUGUCAGUCGUGUUUUCGUUUAUAUACAAACACAUCCACACACACACAUGAGAUUUACCGCCGCAGUAUCAUCAGUCCACUUAAUAAUAGUCUCCACUCCAGUUACAAUUUACUUGCAGCAAGUGAACAGGAUAAUUUUUAAAACAUGAUAUUUUUUAGCCAAUCAUUACUUACCAAUGCUGAUAAAUUUUUUUUAUUUUUUAGGUAACACCCGAAUUCAACUGAUAAAAUUGAGGAAUAAAUAUGUCUAUAUUUAUAUUUAUCUUUAUCUUGUUGACAUUUUAAAAGGUCAUUGGUCUUUAAUGUUAACUAGAUAAUAUUGUCUAUGAUUGAUAAUUCAAUAUUAAUAUUAUUAAUUUUUUAAAACUAUUUAUUUAUAGACAUUAAUUUAUUUGUUUGAAUAAAUUUAAACGGGUUUUUUAUUUCUUAUUUAUAUUAUUAUACAUAUAUAGACAUCUUAAGAAGGUCAAUUCGACCGUUGGUUUGUUUACUUGCUGUACAAUGCAGCAGAGCAAGUGCAGGUCGAUGAAAUCAAUUUAUAUAUAUAUAUAAUAUUAAAACCAAUGACGACAUAAAUAUGCAUAUAAAUACUCAGUAAUCUAAUAAAUAUUUAACGAAAAAUAAAUGAGUUUAUUUUUAGUGCCAUAUUAUGCGUUUCAUUGAGUAGUCUUAGAAAAUUACCCGUAUCAAGAUUAUUAUUUGAAAUCGUACGUCAUAAGAUAGAGGUCUGAAGAAUUCAAAGAAGAUAAAAAGUACCUGAACCACCGCAGAACAUGGUUGUAAAUUAAACGAUAUAUCCCUUGUUCUUUGUUGAAUACUUUCGAACCAAGGGCGUAGGAACAAGUGGAUAUACGAGUCUUCAAUAAAAAUAAUAUAAUUGAUAAAAAAUAAAUAAAUAAAAAUCAAUGACUUGGGUAUUUUAUUGAGUCUAAUUAUCACCAGACAAUGCUGAGAAGCUUCGUCAGGUAUAAUUGCAUUGAUGCAACACGAAUUUAUUUUUUACCACUAUACUGUUAUUGAAUACAAUGUAUAUUUAUAUACAUACAUAUGUAAUGCAAAUUGAUAAAAUGAGGUUUUAUGUCGCAAUAACUAACAAUAACUCAUGAUACUUUGGAAUAAAGUUCUCAAUUAAGUAGACACAUACAUCAAUAGUUAACUUUAAUGUUUAAUUUAUCAACACAAAUAUUAUAUAUUUAUGUACAUUACGACAUUAAAUAAUUGCUGAUAAAAUAAUAAACUAAAGAGGUGGUGAUAAAAAGUAAAUAAAUACA